GACGAACGCUGGCGGCGUGCUUAACACAUGCAAGUCGAACGGAAAGGCCCUUCGGGGUACUCGAGUGGCGAACGGGUGAGUAACACGUGGGUGAUCUGCCCUGCACUUUGGGAUAAGCCUGGGAAACUGGGUCUAAUACCGAAUAGGACCACGCGCUUCAUGGCGUGUGGUGGAAAGCUUUUGCGGUGUGGGAUGGGCCCGCGGCCUAUCAGCUUGUUGGUGGGGUAAUGGCCUACCAAGGCGACGACGGGUAGCCGGCCUGGGAGGGUGACCGGCCACACUGGGACUGAGAUACGGCCCAGACUCCUACGGGAGGCAGCAGUGGGGAAUAUUGCACAAUGGGCGCAAGCCUGAUGCAGCGACGCCGCGUGAGGGAUGACGGCCUUCGGGUUGUAAACCUCUUUCACCAGGGACGAAGCGUAAGUGACGGUACCUGGAGAAGAAGCACCGGCCAACUACGUG
rnacentral:rRNA from 1 species